CAGCCGCCGCGGUAAUACGAAGGGGGCUAGCGUUGUUCGGAUUUACUGGGCGUAAAGCGCACGUAGGCGGAUCGAUCAGUCAGGGGUGAAAUCCCAGAGCUCAACUCUGGAACUGCCUUUGAUACUGUCGAUCUGGAGUAUGGAAGAGGUGAGUGGAAUUCCGAGUGUAGGGGUGAAAUUCGUAGAUAUUCGGAGGAACACCAGUGGCGAAGGCGGCUCACUGGUCCAUUACUGACGCUGAGGUGCGAAAGCGUGGGGAGCAAACAGGAUUAGAUACCCCCGUAGUCCCUGUCUCUUAUAU
rnacentral:rRNA from 1 species